UCUGUUUUUUUCUUUUCUCAAAAACCCAACAAAAUCAUCUCCCAUUGGCUGUUACGAUUGUGUCACCCAUAACUCGUUCCCACGAACUCACUUCUUCUUUCUAUUUCACUUACCCUGUUUUCUUCUCUUUUGUUGAAUGGUUUUUGCAGCAACCCCUGUUUCAAUUAAUCAGUUUCAUUUCCUUUUUUUUUUCUCUUUCCAAAUUCAAGUUUCAAAGUUUCGCUGGUCAAAGUUGAGUUUUCAAUGGAAUGAUAUUUUUUUUUUCUGUAUUUUAGUCUCUCUUCAAAAAUCCCAGCUUUAAUAAAAUAGAUAAAUAAAGAAAAAAAUAUUAUAUAUAUUUCUUGUUCCUCUUUUGUAUAUGACAGUUGGAUUCUUACGGGUGGCAUGAAGCCUUAGCUAAUACUACGAGCUAGAAGUUUUACGGAGUCAUAGUCGUAUUUGAAUUUUCUUCGUUAUUUGAUUCUUUGUCUAAUCUUCUGUACAUUUACUUAGAAAAUAAAGAAAGAGAGAGAAGAGUCAAGGGGUUUAGGUAGAAAAUUUGGGUGGUUUAUUUAUUAUAAAAAAAGGAAAGACCAUGAAUUGGGG
rnacentral:lncRNA from 1 species